GCCACACUGGGACUGGGACACGGCCCAGACUCCUACGGGGGGCAGCAGUGGGGAAUAUUGGGCAAUGGAGGAAACUCUGACCCAGCGACGCCGCGUGCGGGGUGAAGGCCUUCGGGUUGUAAACCGCUUUCAGCAGGAAAGAAGCGAAAGUGACGGUACCUGCAGAAGAAGCACCGGCUAACUAUGUGCCAGCAGCCGCGGUAAUACAUAGGGUGCAAGCGUUGUCCGGAAUUAUUGGGCGUAAAGAGCUCGUAGGUGGUUCGUCACGUCGGAUGUGAAAAUCUGGGGCUUAACCCCAGACCUGCAUUCGAUACGGUCGGACUGGAGUGUGGUAGGGGAGACUGGAAUUCCUGGUGUAGCCGGUGGAAUGCGCAGAUAUCAGGAGGAACACCAAUGGCGAAGGCAGGUCUCUGGGCCAUUACUGACACUGAGGAGCGAAGCGUGGGGAGCGGACAGGAUUAGAUACCCUGGUAGUCCACGCCGUAAACGAUGGGGCACUAGUUUGUGGAAACCUUCACGG
rnacentral:rRNA from 1 species